rnacentral:rRNA from 1 species
GAUAAACGCUAGCGGCAGGCUUAACACAUGCGAGUCGAGGGGCAGCAUAGAUUGUAGCAAUACAAUUGGUGGCGACCGGCGCACGGGUGCGUAACGCGUAUGCAACCUACCCGUCACAGGGGGAUAAUCCCGAGAAAUCUGGUCUAAUACCCCAUAACAUAUGGAUCGGCAUCGGUUCAUGUUGAAAUUUUCGGAGGUGACGGAUGGGCAUGCGUAGCAUUAGCUUGUUGGUGAGGUAACGGCUCACCAAGGCGACGAUGCUUAGGGGGACUGAGAGGUUUUCCCCCCACACUGGUACUGAGACAAGGACCAGACUCCUACGGGAGGCAGCAGUGAGGAAUAUUGGUCAAUGGGCGCAAGCCUGAACCAGCCAUGCCGCGUGCAGGAUGACGGCUCUAUGAGUUGUAAACUGCUUUUGUACGAGGGUAAAGUGGGUUACGUGUAACCUUUUGAAAGUAUCGUACGAAUAAGGAUCGGCUAACUCCGUGCCAGCCGCCGCGGUAA